GACGAACGCUGGCGGCGUGCCUAAUACAUGCAAGUAGAACGCUGAAGGAGGAGCUUGCUUCUCCGGAUGAGUUGCAAACGGGUGAGUAACGCGUAGGUAACCUGCCUGGUAGCGGGGGAUAACUAUUGGAAACGAUAGCUAAUACCGCAUAAGAGUAGAUGUUGCAUGACAUUUACUUAAAAGGUGCAAUUGCACCACUACCAGAUGGACCUGCGUUGUAUUAGCUAGCUGGUGGGGUAACGGCUCACCAAGGCGACGAUACAUAGCCGACCUGAGAGGGUGAUCGGCCACACUGGGACUGAGACACGGCCCAGACUCCUACGGGAGGCAGCAGUAGGGAAUCUUCGGCAAUGGACGAAAGUCUGACCGAGCAACGCCGCGUGAGUGAAGAAGGUUUUCGGAUCGUAAAGCUCUGUUGUAAGAGAAGAACGAGUGUGAGAGUGGAAAGUUCACACUGUGACGGUAUCUUACCAGAGAGGGACGGCUAACUACGUGC
rnacentral:rRNA from 1 species